rnacentral:rRNA from 1 species
UUAAGCAAUUCAAAUAAGGUACAGCCUAUUUGAAGCAGGAUACAACCUAUACUAAUGGGUAACCUAUUUCUAUUUGUAGAUAAGUAGGCCUAAUAGCAGCCAACUUUAAAAAAGCGUCAAAGCUUACCUAUAUUAAUAUUUAAUUUCUCUAUAAACUAGAAACCCUUUAUCUGUAUUGAAUACUUCUAUAAAAUUAUAGAAUUUUUUAUGUUAAAACUAGUAACAAGAAGAAGGACUUCUCUUAAAUGCAAGUGUAAGUCAGCCUGGACAACCCACUGAUCAUUAACGCACAUGAACAAGCAGUAGUAACAUUUCAAGAAAAUCCUACUAUGAAUUCCGUUAACCUUACACAAGAGCAUUAAAAGAAAGAUUAAAAAAAAGGAAGGAACUCGGCAAACAUUAACCCCGCCUGUUACCAAAACAUCGCCUUCUUGUUUAAUUAUAAGAGGUCCAGCCUGCCAGUGAAGACCAA